rnacentral:rRNA from 1 species
CAGCCGCCGCGGUAAUACGGAGGGUGCAAGCGUUAUCCGGAUUCACUGGGUUUAAAGGGUGCGUAGGCGGGCAGGUAAGUCAGUGGUGAAAUCCUGGAGCUCAACUCCAGAACUGCCAUUGAUACUAUCUGUCUUGAAUAUUGUGGAGGUAAGCGGAAUAUGUCAUGUAGCGGUGAAAUGCUUAGAUAUGACAUAGAACACCCAUUGCGAAGGCAGCUUACUACGCAUAUAUUGACGCUGAGGCACGAAAGCGUGGGGAUCAAACAGGAUUAGAUACCCUGGUAGUCCACGCCCUAAACGAUGGAUACUCGACAUACGCGAUACACUGUGUGUGUCUGAGCGAAAGCAUUAAGUAUCCCACCUGGGAAGUACGUUCGCAAGAAUGAAACUCAAAGGAAUUGGCGGGGGAGCACA